rnacentral:rRNA from 1 species
CCUACGGGAGGCAGCAGUGAGGAAUAUUGGUCAAUGGACGAGAGUCUGAACCAGCCAAGUAGCGUGAAGGAUGACUGCCCUAUGGGUUGUAAACUUCUUUUAUAUGGGAAUAAAAUGUUCCACGUGUGGGAUUUUGUAUGUACCAUAUGAAUAAGGAUCGGCUAACUCCGUGCCAGCAGCCGCGGUAAUACGGAGGAUCCGAGCGUUAUCCGGAUUGAUUGGGUUUAAAUGGAGCGUAGGUGGAUUGUUAAGUUAGUUGUGAAAGUUUGCGGCUCAAACGUAAAAUUGCAGUUGAAACUGGCAGUCUUGAGUACAGUAGAGGUGGGCGGAAUUCGUGGUGUAGCGGUGAAAUGCUUAGAUAGCACGAAGAACUCCGAUUGCGAAGGCAGCUCACUGGACUGCAACUGAAACUGAGGCUCGAAAGUGUGGGUAUCAAACAGGAUUAGAUACCCCAGUAGUC